UAGGGAAUUUUCCGCAAUGGGCGAAAGCCUGACGGAGCAAUACCGCGUGAGGGAUGACAGUAAAUAAAUUGUAAACCUCUUUUUCAGGGAAGAAGAUAUGACGCGAACUGAAGAAUAAGCAUCGGCUAACUCCGUGCCAGCAGCCGCGGUAAUACGGAGGAUGCAAGCGUUGUCCGGAAUCAUUGGGCGUAAAGCGUCUGCAGGUGGUUUAGAAAGUCUGCUGUUAAAGACUAGGGCCUAACCCUAGAUAAGCAGUGGAAACUUCUAGACUAGAGUAUGAUAAGGGUAGAGGGAAUUUCCAGUGUAGCGGUGAAAUGCGUAGAUAUUGGAAAGAACACCAGUGGCGAAAG
rnacentral:rRNA from 1 species